rnacentral:lncRNA from 1 species
AUCGCUGUGCCCCUUGGAAGCUGUUCUUGAAUUGUUCCCUGCAGCUUAGCAACCUGAAAGCACCUGUAUCAUGUGAGGCUCUCAUAGACGUGCAAUCCUUUCCCCUCCCUCCUCACUCUUUUUUAAUUCAUAAUUUAUUAUUCUUUAAGAUUUAGUGCUGACAGCUCCUUUGGGCUGCUCUGAAAAUGGCUUUGCCUUUAGUUUUUUCUUGGACUUGAUAUAUAUGAGGGGGUUCAGGUGGAAGAAUGAUGAGUAGUUUUGUGUGGGGGAUGAGGUGGUCACCUCCAGAAGGAGGAAUUGCCUUUGGGUGACCCUUUUCUCUCCCAGGGCCCACAGAGGGAUGCUGGACUGGUCGUCUAAUUCCCAUACAGCUAAAUUAAGGAGAACAGGACCCUAUUGUAGGCAGCAGGGAGCUGCAGGUGCUCUGUGGUCAUGGCUUGGCCUAAGUGAGUAUGUAACUCUGUGGUGGACCUCCCUGGGGCUGUGCCAGGCUGGCUCGACCAGCGCCAGUGUGGCUGAGAUGGAGAAGAGGCAGACUUCCCAAUGAGGGCAAGAAAGAAAUCCUGCCUGGCGAGGAACUUCAGCGACGAGGGCUUUCAACAGGAGAUGCUCUGUGGUGAUCAUCCUGCUCAACACUCGCAGAGACCAGGCACCGACACCAGAACCGCGCCGGGGCUGUCCUGCAAGCGCUGGUGGCAUCACCUCACAGCUGGGGCUGCAGCCUCCCUCCAGGAUCGUGCCACACCAGCAGUUACAGGUUCAGCGCUGCAGCUGCCCUGCAGAAGUUGGUGGGACUCGAGAGCGGUCACUGAAGUUUUGUGGAAAUGUUCGGUGGAGAUUUUUGUGGCAGGUGUGAAAGCGAGCUGCCUUGCAGCUAAGCUGGUGCAGCCUAGAGAAAACAACUGGGAGGUGUCAUCUCUGGGAGCAGAGAGAGCAGCAAAUGGGCUGUGUGAAGGACAGAGAAAAAAGAAAGAAAGACCUCUUGCAAAUGAGGUGCCAACAGAAAAUGUACUUUGGCAGCUGGAAAGGUGUAAUGAAAGCCUAGGCAAAAUAUAG